rnacentral:rRNA from 1 species
CAAACGACUCUCGGCAACGGAUAUCUCGGCUCACGCAUCGAUGAAGAACGUAGCAAAAUGCGAUACCUGGUGUGAAUUGCAGAAUCCCGUGAACCAUCGAGUUUUUGAACGCAAGUUGCGCCCGAAGCCUUCCGGCUGAGGGCACGUCUGCCUGGGCGUCACGC